rnacentral:rRNA from 1 species
GAUGAACGCUAGCGGAAGGCUUAAUACAUGCAAGUCGAGCGGUAGGUGGCUUCGGCCAUUGAGAGCGGCGCACGGGUGAGUAACGCGUACAUGACCUGCCUGUCAGAAGGGGAUAGCCCUGGGAAACUGGGAUUAAUACCCUAUGGUAUUGAUAUUAUGAAUGAUAUCAAUUAAAGUUGAGGCGCUGACAGAUGGAUGUGCGUCUGAUUAGCUAGUUGGUAGGGUAACGGCCUACCAAGGCGACGAUCAGUAGGGGGCGUGAGAGCGUGGUCCCCCACACGGGUACUGAGACACGGACCCGACUCCUACGGGGAGGCAGCAGUAAGGAAUAUUGGUCAAUGCCCGCAAGGGUGAACCAGCCAUUCCGCGUGGAGGAUGAAGGCCCUAUGGGUUGUAAACUUCUUUUAGAUGGGAAGAAAAUGCUAGAUGUAUCUGGUACUGACGGUACCAUCAGAAUAAGCACCGGCUAACUCCGUGCCAGCAGCC